AUACGGAGGAUGCAAGCGUUAUCCGGAUUUAUUGGGUUUAAAGGGUGCGCAGGCGGAAAAAUAAGUCAGUGGUGAAAUCCUGCAGCUUAACUGUAGAAUUGCCGUUGAUACUGUUAUUCUUGAGUGUGGUCAAGGUAGGCGGAAUGUGUAAUGUAGCGGUGAAAUGCUUAGAUAUUACACAGAACACCGAUUGCGAAGGCAGCUUACUGGGCCAUUACUGACGCUCAUGCACGAAAGCGUGGGGAUC
rnacentral:rRNA from 1 species